CAUAAGAUAUACUCAAAUGCUUUGAGCUCAUCAAAAUCAAAUAGGGUUAUAAUCAAUCACUCCACAAUCUCCCCCUUUUUGAUGAUGACAAAAUAUUGAGUAUUUGUAAAGUGAAUUGCUCAACCAAAAAGUAGAUUAAUAGUAAAGUUCUAAAAUGAAUUCAAGUGUCUAGUCAUUUAAUUUAUCCAAAACUGAAAGGUGUGAAACAGUAAAUUCUGAAGUUAAAGCUCCCC
rnacentral:lncRNA from 1 species